UUCGAGGAGCUCGGGGGAACAAGACCUGGGGGUCCUGGACUUGUUCAACAGUGCAGGGAGAGGCGACAUGGAAUACGCCGGCGCAGCCGCACACGGCGGCGAGGACGGAGUCGUAGUGGAGGAGCUCCAUCUGGAAGAGGCGGAGGCGCUCCGACGCUCCAUCCAAGGCUUCUAGAUGCUUCGUCUCGCCCUCAUCGUCUGUUAGAAAAAGUUGUGUUGUGCUGUGUAAGUAUUGAGAUCAAAUGAAUGAAUAAUGAGAGUGUGGAUUGUAUUAACUGAGAUUUUGGACGGUGGCGUGAACGGUGUAGCCGCGGUCCAGAAGGAGGUGGACGAGCCAUGAACCGAUGGCGCCGCUGCCGCCGGUGACACACACCACCUUCUCCAUUUGGCAACUGUAUUCUAUCAACCUCCAGUUUUGUACUGUUCCAGUGUAAUCUGCUGAGGCAAAAAAUAAUUAUAAUUUGAAGUCAUAUCUGUACAAAAAAAUAUAUAUGAGUGGUGCAUAAUGAAUCUCAACACUCACAAAAAUCUCAUUAAAUUUUAUUAUUAUUAUAUUAUCAUCUUACAUGCACCAUAUCAGCAAAACCACAAAUUGCAUCACAUUUUGCAACAGAUGCAGGAAUUGAACCAGAAAUCAGAUGAUAGCAUAUACAAUGUUGUGAUGAAAAUUGGCAUGCUUAUUAUUAUUCAUUAAGCAAUAAUAUAUUAUAGAAGUAUUUUAAUCACUGGAUAUUGUUCUACUAGAUGUAAGAAACAGGUCAGUGACUUCUGUUGUUGAAAAAGUAGUAUAAUAGUUAUAAUAUAAUGUGAUUAAAAACCAUUUUUAUUGUUUUAAUAUACUGCUAAUACUACUAUAAUUAAUGUUAUAUUAAACGUUCAUAAUAUUAUUGUUACAACGUAAACCCACCCUUUAAUUGCAAUUUGUACUAUAUUAAAAUAUGAUGUCAACAUAUAUGUUAUUAUAUUAUUAAUGUUAUUAUCCUUUGGAUUUUUGUGUAUGUUUUUAUUUGGAUUUUCGUUUAUUCAAAAUUUUCAAGUAAAACAUUUAUUCAUUUGAGUGGAUUUUUUUAAAGGACUCAACUACGACCUGCUUCACGUGACAGAUGUUACACCUUAAGUACAUUACACCUUUAGCUCUCACAGUAUUCAAUUAACGCUUGAUUUAGCUUUCUGCAGUGUCUUUAUUCCUUAUCUUUCCUUUUGUCAUCAUUUUUAAUGUGCUUCUCUUACACUCUACUUCAUAAAGUUUAUAACCUACAACUUGCUUAAGCAACUUUCUUCUUACAUGGUUGUGCUCACACUUUACCUCAUUUGUCCUUCAUCGCAUCAGAAGUUCAGAUUGUUCACUUAUUUUUGUAAGACGUUAUUCAAAUUUUUGUUUCAAACUCUUGCAAUUUAAAUCGAUUGUUUUAUCCAAUGUUUUUUUUUUAUGGUUGUCUGUCCUUUUCAUAUCUUAUUUUCAACAAAAUGGCUUAUGAAGAACUUCUCCAUAUGUUGUUUGUUUUCACUUAUGGUUAUUGUUCUUUGUCUGCAUUCUAAUUUUUAAGUUUAAUUUUUAGUUAUCUUUAUAUUGGCAUUUCGGAUUAAAUGCAUCUUCAAUUAUUUUUGUAUGAUUUUUUUCCAUUGCUUACUUACUCUGUUUUCUAUUAAAAUUAAAACUUAUUACUUCUUUCAUGGUGGAUUUCAAGCUUUUGUGCUAAAGAAAUGACCUUUACAACUACAACAUCAGCUGUUUUCUAAAUACUUUUUGUUCUCGUUGUUUUUUUAAAAAAAUAUAAUACUAUUUAGGCAUGUAUUGUGCUCCGCUAGAUUUUAUUUAUGUGUUGUCUCAUAAAAGUCUUUCAUUUCACAGUAAAAUGUAUAGUGCAACUUAAAGAGAAAACCACUAUUUCGUUAUGUGUUCUUUUUCAUUAUAUUUUUCUCAAUUUUAUUCUAGUUGUUUUGUUUAACCUAUAUAUGCUUAUGUUGUUUUUAUGUUUUUCUUUUUUUUGUCAUAAGAUUUUGUAUUUAUGAACCUCUUAUUCAGAUUGUGUAACAUUUGAAUCUGGUUUGUUGCACACACUAACAUUGGCAGCUAAAACAAAGUUUUAUUGUUAGUUUAUAUUUACGAAUGUAUGUGUUCUUCUAUUUAUUUAUGUCCUUUCUUAUUUGACCUAUGUCUUUGACUAAUUGAUCAACACACCAAAUCUUCGCAACUACAAAAAUCUUUUAGUAUGCAAGAAUACAAUGUUGUUCCUUCUUCUUCACAAGUUUUAACAAAUUUGGUUUGCUUAUUUUGUUUUUAUGUAUUUUUGCUUUUUUUUUUAUAUGAUUAUGUAAUUAUGAACCUCUUAUGUUGUUGGAUGUCCAGAUUGUGUAACAUUUUAAUCUAAUUUGUUGCACACAAUUAGAUUGGCAGCUAAAGCAAAAUUUUAAUGUUAGUUUAUAUUUACGGAUUUCUGUGUUAUUCUAUUUAUUUAUGUCCUGUUUAUUUAACCUCUGGCUUUGAAGGAUUCAUCAACACACCAAAUAUUGGCAACUCCGUCAAGGAGAUACAUCCUAGAUUUUUUUUUUCUUCUUGUUUUCCAUGCUUGUAAUGCCCAACAUGAGUAUCUAAUUCUACCCUUUGAGAUUUGAGAUUUUCUCUUUAGUUGUUCCUCUACUCUAACACAAAGUUGAACUAAAUCAUUUAAAUCAUUAUAAGGAAAAAGUUCAACUUUAUCCUUAAUUUCAUAAUUAAGACCACUUUGGAAUCGAGCCCUAAUCCGUGCCCUUAACAUAAAUAACUCAAUUAUCUGCUUCUAUUGUUCUACAAUCAUGUUUAUAUGCGUUAACUUAUUGAGUUGUUUCAUCAACUCUCUAUCAUAUUAGGAAGGCUCAUACCUCUUCCUAAGAGCUGAUCUAAACUCAUUCCAAUACCUUAUUUAGGGAAAAUUAUGCAACCUAAGAUCUUUUGUAUAGGUGGUCCACCAAGUCAUGGUUGAAUCUUGAAAACUAAGGGUAGCUAAGGUAUCCCUCCUCUCAUGAUUUAUUUGGUGAGCCGAAAAAAAUUUCAACCUUCAUCUCCAAGGUUACGUAAUCUUCUAUAUUUGAUGAAAAAUGAAAAUAAGGAAGGUCAAUCUUAGGCUCUUUAGGCACAUGAUGGGCUCGAUGUCUAUGUUGUCUAGCAUUUUAUUGGUAGUAGUAUGUAUUGUGAUACCUACUAUAAUCAUAUUGGCUUUGGUAAGGGAUUGUAUGAUGAUUGCUUAUAUGUUUGUGAGAUCCCUCUCUUAGGAAAUCACAAAUUUAGAAAUUAUUUCUUUCAAUUCUGAAAAAUUCAUUUGCUUGUUUUGUUACUCUUUCAUAGACAUUAAAAGAAUCUUGAGUGUUUUGAUUACCAUGAACACUAGAUUGAUGUGAAGGAUCACCCAUUGUUGAAUUAAAAUAGAAAAAGUUUUCACAAAAAUUUACAAUUCAAUUGAGUGAUCAAAAUAUUUUUUGAAAAUAUUUUUUUAAUUUUUGGUGAAGUAAAUAGAUCAAGUAUGAGAGUUCUCCAAGUUCACUCCCACGAAAAGUGAGGUGAGUCACAAUGGACUACUUACAUACCAAGAGCUUAUCCCAAAUAAUUCUCAACAUAAGUUCCCUCAAAAUAAUUUUAGAAAUGAGAGUGGGUGUUUGAAUGUCGAAAUGAAACUAAAGAUCAAAGGAAGAUCUACUAAUAAGCAAAAAAAGAUAAAAAUCCUAUGUAUCACAGAUACUUAAAAGCAAGAAAAUAAAGGAAGGAAAUAAAGGAAGGAAAUAAAAGCAUGAAAUUAAAGCAAGAAAUUAAUGCUAGUGAAAAGUAAAUUAGCCGCAUCCUAAAGUUCAAGUGCAAUUGACACUAAGACUCCAGCAGCACACUUACACCACUAAUGCACAUGUAAUCUAAGAAUUUGAAGUAAAAUAAGUACAAAAGAAGAUGGACAACAAUAUAGAUAAAUAGUUAAGUGAAUCUCAAGAGAACAUUACAAAGAACUUACUUGAAAUGGACUUUAUUAAAAAUUUUAAUUUCAAGAAAUAUACUAAGUUAUGUUGGAGAUCCCACAUCGACUAGAGAUAAGGACAUUUCAUAAUAUAUAAAUGGGUGCAGACCUCAAUCUUAUGAGCCGGUUUUAUGGGGUUGAGUUAGCCUUAAAGUCCACUUCGCAAUAAGUUACUUUUAUACAUAUAGCUUAAUGAACAUAUCAAGGCAUAAGUAAGUAUAUUUGAUUAUUGUUAUAUAACAAAUUCAUUUGUAAUUCACAUUCCUAAAAGUAUUUACAAAAGAUUCGAAGUAAAGCAUGUCCUUAUCUCAAGAUGCACUACUUGUAAACAAAUAACCCAUCAUAUUCUACAUAUUCCUUUGACAAACUUGAUUACCCGAACUAGAAGUUGCUCAGUUGGAGAUCUCACAUCGACUAGGGAUUAGAGCCUUUUAUUGUAUAUAAAUGGAUGCAAACCUCAACCCUGUGAGCCGGUUUUAUGGGGUUGAGUUAGGCUUAAAGUCACAUCUCUAUCUUAGUGGAAAGUAUUGAAUAGAGUAUAAAUCAUAUACAUCUGUGUUAAAAUGAGUAUACAUCUAUAUUAAAAUGAGUGAUGUCAUUCAUACAUCUAAAGAAAUCAAUGUACAUUCUCAUUUCAUAAUAAAAAGAUAUGAAUGACAAUUACAACACAAAGACCCUACCUACCACGAGUUGGUCAUACUCUAAUCUACGCCCAUAAACUAUUUCCCGUGAGUUCUAGGCAUGGAGGCUUCUCAAUGUUUCAAGCUAUAAACAAAGACUGAGAAUUGUACACUCAAUCAUACAAUAAUAUAAAUAAAAACACAGGAAAAAUCAAUAUCCUCGCAUACAAUAACAUAAUCAAGAGGACAAAUUAUAAUAUACAUCAAAAAAUUAAUUUGGUGAAUUUAAAGACUCAACCAUACAUUCAAUCAAAUCAAAAUGUAUUUCACAAGUAUUAUUAUAGGAUAUGACAACCCAAACUAACAUCGUUUUCCUCCCUCAUCCAACGUCUACUUUCAUGACUUACUACUUAAAAGUACACCUUCAUUGAGAUUAUUUAAAAAAAAAACUUAAAUUGUUAUAUGAAGGUGCAUGGGGAAAAUAGAGAGUGGAGGAGAAUUUGCCAAACUAAUGCCCUUUUCUCUUUCCUUUUUUGUACGUAUGCAACACUUUAUAUUCUAAUUUUCAUGCACAUUUCAAUUCUUCACAAAUGACCUACAAACAAAUAGUGGUCCAUAUGCAUAAAACAAAAUGUAACUAGGGUUUCCAUUCGCAUGUAAACACCCCACGUUUUUCUUACUGUACCCAUAUAAAUUAUCCUUAUUAAUUUAUAAUAUUAUUAAUAAAUUGAAUUUUGAAAAAAUGAUUUUUCUCAUGAUUUAAAACUAAUUUGUUUAACAAUUUGAUACAUACAUUAUAUUAUAGUUAAUGAAAAUAAUAAUUAAUAACUAAAAUCUUAAUAACUAAUUAGAUACAAUUUAAAAAUUAUUUUAUAAUUUUUAUUAAUAAUAAAAACUAUUUAAAUACUAAUACUCAUUCAAUUAUAUCAAUUUCCUUCCAAAUCCUCCUCAUACAUAUAGUAAAGAAAUUGUUUUUCGUUUUCCAUGUUCUUUACACGUUUUCUAUUAAUUUCUUUGUGGACAAUAAGUUUAAGCAUUCCAUCUUCAUUUUGAAAAAAGAAACAAACAGGUGAGAGCUACUCAUACGCAAGUUCCUUUUUCAUACUAUUAGAGAAGUGUAGAUUAUGUCAUAGAAGAGCGUCUAAAGGUAACAGAGAUACAAAAAUGUGAAGACAACACAGAAACAUGACAGAAAUAGAGAUCCACCCAUGAACUAAAAUUAGGUAGAAAAUGUUUUACAAAGAUGUCUCUCGUCACUUGUUUUAGAACAAUGCAAACAUAACAACAACCACACCAACAAAUAUAACAGAUUAACAACAACAGGAAUUUGCACCAAACAUAUGUGCCAUAAGGACUCAUAUUGCAGCAGCAAUUAUGGAAGGAAUCCUUUUUUCUUCAAAUCCUCUACAGAAUCCUUAAUAAUCUCCUCAAUUGGAGUGAUUUGCAAACCCAAAUCCAUAAGUUUCUUUGAUCCAUCCUUCACUCUCAAUAAUCCUGGUUGGGUAUCUCGUUGCAUCCUUUCAAGCAAAAUCACAAAAUACAUCAUUCGCAACUAAGUUAUGCAUUAACAAUAGAUGUAUGAAGUGUGUGGGUAACUUACUUAGGCACAUUGUACUCUGGAUAAAGUUCACCAACUUUGGCCGCAAAAUCACCAAAGUGAGAGAUAGAUUCAACACACACAUGCCUACCAACUGCAGAUUUGUUCUCAUACACCAAAAUAUGUGCCAAUGUUACAUCCUUCAAGUGGACCGAUCCCAUAUAAAUGUCCUCGUAUGUUUCAUCAGAACCUGCGACGCGACAUACAAAUUUGUCUCAAAUUAUCAGUAAUUCCCCUAAAAAAAUCAUAACUUGGGGAGUUUGAUAUUAGUAUUCGAGUCAACAAUUAUACUGUGCAAAAUCUAAUGAAAAGAGUAUAGCACAAUCAAACAAGUCUAAUACUUUUCACGAAGGCAUCAAGUUCUAAAUAUCCUACACAGCUACACCAUCAACUACACUGUCGCAGGUCUUAGAAAACAUAUAAAAUAAUAAUAAAAUAAAAAUAUGAAUAAUAAAUUAAUAACAUAAUAAUAAUUAAAUAAUUAAAAUAAUAAUAAAUAAUAAACAAUAAUAAUGUUGGAGAUCUCACAUCGACUAAAGAUUAGAGUCUUUCAUUGUAUAUAAGUGGGUGCAAACCUUAAAUUUAUGAACUUGUGAGUCAUUUCAUUGUAUAUAAAUAAAUGAAAACCGAUUUUAUGGAGUUGACUUAGACUUAAAGUUUAUUUUGUAAUAAAUAAUAAAAAUAACUGAUAGUAAAAAUAUUAAAAUUAAAAUUAUAAACUAAUUAUAAUAUUAUAUUUUUUAUUUAAUUAAAUUAGUUUAUAAUAAUAUAAAUUAAUUAAUUAUUAUAUAUAUUAUUUUUAAAUUUUUUAAAAUUUAUUAUAUUUAUCAAAUUAGUAAUAAACUUAAUUCAAAAAACUUCAUUUUACUCAACUCCUCAAAUUCCCAGUAUCAAAUUUACUCUCCAUUUGAAAAAAACCCAACUUGAUACAAUGAGUUUAAAAAUAACUAUCUAAAAUAAAGAAUAAAUUUAUACUUAUAUAAUAUAAAAAAUAUAUAUUAAAAUAAUAAUAUUGAAAAUUGUAUAAAAAUACUGCAUUGUAUGAUUAUAUGAUUAACCCAAAAGAUAAAGCAUUCUCAAGCUUUUUGGGUAGUAGAAGAUUUCUUGAUACCAUAUUAUAAUAAUAUAAUAAUAUUUUAAAUUAAAAAUAAAUUAAAUAUAAUUAAAAUAUUAUUUUAAGGAUUUGUCAAGUGGAUUUUUUUAUUAUUGUAUGACCACCCAUUUUAGAACUUUUCCAGUUCACAUUUCCAAUAUUGAAGGAAACUCCUGCUGCAAAAAUAGAAAGAAAUAUUUGGAAAAUCCAACUGAUUAAGCAUUAGUGUCUCUACCUUGAAGAAGGCGCAAGAGCAUGAGCAUGCUUGCAUUAAGCCUGGGUGAAAUAAUCGGACCCAUCACAGUGCCAGGAUUCACUACAACAACAUCCAACCCACUCUCCUUUGCAAAUUCCCAAGCUGCUUUCUCCGCCAAAGUCUUCGACAAUGGAUACCACAACUGUUGCACACACAAACACUUCACACACCAACACAUAUAAGAAAAAGAAACAGAAAAUGAAAAAAAUGAAACCCUUUCUAACCCCUUUUUGCUUGCAAAAUUCAACGUCAGCCCAGCAGUCCUCCCUCUUUGGAACAUCACCGGGCCAACUGGGGCUCGGAAUAAUCGCCGAGACGGAGGACGUGACCACCACGCGACGCACUCCUGCUUCUUUCGCUGCCGUUAAUACGUUCACGGUACCCUUUAUCGCCGGGUCCAGAAGAUCCUUCUGCAUGAAGACUCAAAUGGGAUGAUGAAAAAACCCAAAAGAUUGAAAAUUUGUGAAGAGAUCGAGGAAACAAGACCUGGGGAUCCGAGACUUGAUCAACAAUGCAGGGAGAGGCGAGGUGGAAAACGCCGGCGCAGCCGCGCAUGGCAGCGAGUACGGAGUCAUAGUGGAGGAGCUCCAUCUGAAAGAGGCGGAGGCGCUCCGACGCUCCAUCCAAGUCUUGUAGAUGCUUUGUCUCGGCCUCAUCGUCUGUUAGAAAAGUUGUGUUGUGCUGUGUAAGUAUAUAUUGGGAUGAAACGAAUGAAUAAUAAAAGUUUGGAAUGUGCUAACUGAGAUUUUGGACGGUGGCGUGAACGGUGUAGCCGCGGUCCAGAAGGAGGUGCACGAGCCAUGAACCGAUGCCGCCGCUGCCGCCGGUGACACACACCACCUUCUCCAUUUUGCAGCUGUAUUCUAAGAUGCACUACUUGAAGAACUCCACUGUACUAAGAUAAUGAUGACACGUGUAAGAGAGGAAGAAACAAAGAAAACGAAAGACAGCCACAGAAAGAACAGAGAAAAAAUGAAAACGACGUUCAGAUAAAAGGCAAAAAAUGACCGAAGCAAACAGUUCCAAACAGCAAAAUAUUAGGUUUUAUUUUUUAGUGACUAAAUUAAUAUUGAAUUAUAAAUUUUUAAAGAAUACUUGUAUAAUGUAAUUGUCAUAUUUCUCUAUUAUGUAGAAUUGUAGUGAAAUGGAGGUUAAAUAAUGGUGCCCAACUUGCUAGCUGAAGGUUUUAAAAGGCAAGGAAAAAAUGAUAGCAAAUUAACCGUCAUGUACAAAAAAAGUGGUGGUCCCACAAUCACAAAAAUAGCAUAUAAAUUAAAUAAAAGAACUGACACGUAGAGUUUAGUGUAAUUUGAUGAUUUAUUUAUAAAUUAUUAUUUAUGGUUAUUUUACUGAUUUUUGUAAUAAGUAUUUGAUAUAGUUUAGGAGAGGAUAUGGUAUGCUUUAAUAAGAGGAUUUGAGCACACUUAAGCUUAAAUGAGUGUAUAUAAGCAACAAAAGAAAGAAAAAUAAAUCUAUACAAUUGUUGGAUCAUUCCAAGACUCAAUCAUAGAGGAACACAAACUCAUAGUAGAUAAUUUUUUCUUUUCAUUAAUUUAAUUUCCAACUCAUUGAGAUAAUUAUAAAAGCGUUUCUAUCCAUAACAUUAUGACAAAAUGUAGAGUACACCUUAUUUUCUUAAUAUAUAUAAUUUGACUUUUAUUAACCAAGUGGGCUUCUUCAAUGCCUAAAUCAUUUUAAUAUUUGGCUCCAUUAUUGUGUACCUGUUUCUCAUUUUCUGGUUCUUAUCUCAGACCAACUAAAGCCCACCACGUAUCGUUUCCCAAUUUUUACUUUAUGCAUAUGGACCCGCUUUUUGUUUGUUGCUAUUUUACUUUAUUCCUUUUCAUUUUAUUUUUAAUUCAAAAUAUUAUUAUAUUAUUAUAAGUGUUUGUUAAGUGUAUCUUAUUUACUGUUUUUUAUUGUUUAUGGUUUUAAAGAAACUUUUCUCUUUUGUCAUACAUUCACAUGGGGAGUGCUCAUUUGUUUGCAUGAAAAUUGAAAUACUAAGAGUUGCAGAUGUACAAGAAAGAAAGAGUAGCUCUAAACAAAGAAUAACUUUAUUUUUUAAAAUAAUUUCAGUAACAUUCUUAUAACUUUCUUUUAUUUACAGUACUUUCAUUCUUAUGUCGUAAAAUUAGAAAAAGUAGUUUUUUAUCAAUCAAUAUCGAACGGGUGAGUCAUUUAGUUUCGGAAAUCGAUCAACUGCGUUAAAAUACAUUUAAUACACUCAAUAAAUGACUAUUGUUACAAUUAUGAAAACUUCCGACAAAUCAAAGUCAUAUUCCAUCGAAUUUGGGUGACACCCCCAAGAAAAUAGCUAAUAUUGAUUUAUUGAAGAUAUUCUCCAAAUAUACAUCUCUAUAAUUCAAGGAAUCCCCUAAAAAGCCACUUAACACUGAUAUUUGAUAAAUGCGGUUCAUCACACAAAAUGACUCAUGACUAAACAUUAUAAAUAAAUAUUUUACAAAAGAGGAAUGUAUGUUUUUUAUCAGUUUCACUAUACACUCUUAACACAAGGUACUCACUUGAUCGUCGAAAAAUCUUUUGCAAGUUAACUCCUAAUCGACUAUUGAGAAAUUGAGGAUAGGGAGUCUUGAAGUUUGAAGGAGUGAAGUACUAAGGAGCAAGGGAGGGACCGACAACCAAAACAAUUGUUACAGUCAAUCCCAUGUACUAUUUAUGCUCACUUUGUCAAUACAAGUACAAGUUCCAUCAUUUCAACGUGUGUAAGAGGCUUGACGAGAAGAUUUGUUGUAUUCGACAUUCCCCAAUGCGAAGAUAAUUUUUUUUUUUUAGUUUUAUACUUCAUUUUUGCACAUCAUUUUUUUAUGAAUUUUGUGGCUUCCAAAAAAAGAAAAAAAAUAAAUGAAUAAAAACACAGUCACCAUGAGCAAUCACCAUCACUUGAAAAUGAAGAAGACACAACACUCUCCAUCAAAUAUUGUUGGAAUUAAAAAAGAGUAUGGAAGUGGAGAAUGAAGGUACGGAGAUGCAAGGAGAAUUUGCCAUCAAUUUUGUGCAUAUGGGAUUACUUUUUGCAUCACAUUUUGGUAUCACCCUUCCUUCAUAGGUGUUUCUUUCUGCACCUCUACAUUUUUCUUCUUGCACCUCUACAUUUUUCUUCUUGCACCCCUACAUUCAUGUGUAAUUACAAAGUAUCUCUAAGACAUCUAAAAAAACCCAAAAGGAGCAUAUCUCACUCUUUCUUUCUUCCUUUUCUACAAUUGUUGUGCACCUUGUUCAAGGAGCGAACAAAGGACAAUAAGUGGUAAUGCAUUGGGAUGUUGUUGGUGGUUCAUUUUCUGAAAUCUUGAUGGUGGUUAGAUGAUUUCUAAGAUGACUCUGUAUUAAGAAAAGAAGAUAAGUAAUAUUAUUUUUUGUUUACACUGUAUUGAGAAAAGAAGAUAAGUAAUAUUAUUUUUUGGUUACAUAUUGGAUGUUUAAUUUUUUAACUAAUUUUGAAUUCCGUAAUGCAACUUUUAGGAUUUCAGAGACAAGUGAGUCCGUAAUAGAGCACAUUGAUCCAAGAAUUAACUAGAUUGGUGUAUUUGUGUGGUUAUUUACACUUUAUAAACAUGGUUGUAAUUCCUAGCUGUAAUGGCAAAUAGAAAACUCUUGUAGCAGCCAAAUGGAUCCAGACUUUUUUUGUAAAAAACGUGGUGCCCCACUUGCAGCAAACAGAAAAUAACGAGUAAAUAAAAAAAUAGGGUUUGCAGGAAAUAUAGAAAACAAUGAGGAAAGAAAAGAAUGGCAUGUGAAGGCACUGUAAGGAAGGGUGAUGCCACAUCGUGAUCAGAAUGAGUGGUUGUGAUGGAUGAAUGAAUAAUUAAGAUUCCUUCACAUUCUAAACAGUAUCUCACUUUCAUUCUCUAACCAUUUAUAGUAAUAUCCCCACGUAUUCUUUCUUCUUUUAUAACAAAAACAAAAACAACCACCCCUUUUCUCUUUUCUUUUUUAAUUUACUACUUUUAAUAUUAUUAUUUUAAUAUUUUUUUAUAUCAUUUAAUUAUAAAUCAUUCUUUUAUUCUGCUCUCCAUGUGAAUGUUUGAAGAGUAAAUCAUCUAGGUGUCAAAAAGAACAUUGACAUAUUGGUUUAUAAUUAAAAAUUCUUGAUUCUACAUAUUUUUAACUUUGAGUAGGAAGUUGAUGUUAUAUUAUUAUGUUUAUAUUUAUUAGUUCAAAUUUAAUUGAAUUGAAUAACUGAUUUUUUUCUUUAAUUUAUAAUAGAAUUAAACAAUUAUUAAAAUAAUUCAUAUUUAUUAAAACUAACCACACCAACAAAAGUUUAACGAUACAUAUGAUAGUGCCUCAUUUUAGAACUAAGAGGAAUUUGCAGCAAACAUGUGGCUUUUAGGACUCGUAUUGCAGCAGCAAUUAUGCAAGGAAUCCUUUUUUCUUCAAAUCUUCUACAGCAUCCUUAAUAAUCUCUUCAAUUGGAGUGAAUUGCAAACCCAAAUCCAUAAGUUUCGUUGAUGCAUCCUUCACUCUCAGUAAUCCUGGUUGGGUAUCUCGUUGCAUCCUUUCAAGCAAAAUCACAAACUACAUCAUUUACAAGUACGUUAUGCAUUAACAAUACAUGUAUGAAGUGUGUGGGUAACUUACUUAGGCACAUUGUACUCUGGAUAAAGUUCACCAACUUGGGCUGCAAAAUCACCAAAGUGAGAGAUAGCUUCAGCACACAGAUGCCUACCAACUGCAGAUUUGUUCUCAUACACCAAGAUAUGUGCCAAUGCUACAUCCUUAAAGUGGACCGAUCCCAUAAAAAUGUUCUCAUAUGUUUCAUCAGAACCUGCCACGCCACAUACAAAAGGUCACAAAUUCUCAGUAAUUCCCCUAAAACAUCAUAAAUUGGGUAGUUUCAUGUUAAUAUUCCGGUCAACGAUUAUAGAUUAUAUGGUAAAAAAUUUAAUAAAAAAAAAGUGUAGUGAUUUUCACGAAUUAUAAAUGUCCUACGCAUCUAUACCAUCGACCAAGUUGUAGCAGGUCUUGUGAAAUUAGUCUAAUAGUUAGGUAACAACAACAGUAGCCCUAUUCACAUUAUACCAUUUUAAUCAGUUAAAAAUGUAUGCAUCAUUCAUCACAAGAUCCCUAACAUGGUGUUAAAUAGUGGUAUGCGACUAUGACUUUAGUGGUUCCGUCCACAGAUUUGGACGGAUGAAUACAAACAGAAAGCAUGAAAAUCAAAAGUAAAAAAUUGUUAGAUUCUUUCCUCGCAUAGCUGUGAGGAGUAGCAAAGAAAGUUGAAUAAACAUUAUAAUCAUAUAUUUACAAUAAAAUAUAUAUUCUAUAACGGAUCAUUACAUAGUCUGAUGACAUAUAUUUAUCAAAUAAUCCAUUUUUUUAAUAAUAUAAUUGAUUAUGGAAUAUACAUGUUAUUAUAUUUUUAUAUAAUUAUUAUAUUAUAUAUAUACACUAAAAAAAAUAUAAAUAUAGUAAAAAAAAUAAUUAGUUGUUAUAAUAACUAAAUUAGAAAUUAUUUUAAAAACUAAAAAAAAUAAUUUUUAAAUUAGUUUAUAUUAUUAUUAAAUAGUUUUGUAAUUUGUAUUUAAUUAGCUACCAAGGUUUUAACUCCCAAUUAUUUAAUUUCUAAAUUUGGUCGUAAAAAUUUUGGUUGCUAAUUAAAUACUAAUUUAAAAAUUAUUUAAUGAUAAUACAAACUAAUUUAGAAACUAAAGUUUUUUUUUCUCUAAAAUGAUUUAUAAUUUAGUUACUAUAUCAACUAAAUAUUUUUUAUUCUCUAAACAUAGUUUUCUAUUUGAUGUUUUUUUUUAGUGAUAUUAUUAAUUGAUUAAUAUUUGUAUUUUUAUUCUAAACAUAAUUAAUUAUACAAUAUAAUACAAUGUAAUAAUAAUAAGUAGUCAAACAAUAAAGAAAUAUAAAAUAAUAAUAAUAAAAUAGUCUCUACCUUGAAGAAGGUGCAAAAGCAUGAGCAUGCUUGCAUUAAGCCUCGGUGCAAUAACCGGACCCAACACCAUCCCAGGAUUCACUACAACAACAUCCCACUCACUCUCCUUUGCCAAAUCCCACGCUGCUUUCUCGGCCAAUGUCUUCGACAAUGGAUACCACAACUGUUGCACACACAAACACUUCACACCCCAACACAUAACAAAAACAAACACAAAAUUCAAAAAAUGAAAACCCUUUCUAACCGCUUUUUCCUUGCAAAAUUCAACGUCAGUCCAGCACUCCUCCUUCUUUGGAACAUCACCGGGCCAAUUGGGGCUCGGAACAAUCGCGGUGAUGGAGGACGUCACCACCACGCGACGCACUCCAGCUUCUUUCGCUGCCGUUAGCACGUUCACGGUGCCCUUUACCGCCGGGUCCAGAAGAUCCUUCUGCAUGAAGACCCAAAUGGGAUGAUGCAAAAACCCUAAAGAUUGAAAAUUUGCAAGAAGAUCGAGAGAACAAAACCUGGGGGUCCUGGACUUCAUCAACAAUGCAGGGAGAGGCGAUGUGGAAUACGCCGGCGCAGCCGCGCAUGGCUUCGAGUACGGAGUCGUAGUGGAGGAGCUCCAUCUGGAAGAGGCGGAGGCGCUCCGACGCUCCAUCCAAGGCUUUUAGAUGCUUUGUCUCGGCCUCAUCGUCUGUUAGAAAAGUUGUGUUGUGCUGUGUAAGUAUAUAUUGGGAUGAAACGAAUGAAUAAUGAGAGUGUGGAAUGUACUAACUGAGAUUUCGGACGGUGGCGUGAACGGUGUAGCCGCGGUCCAGAAGGAGGUGGACGAGCCAGGAAGCGAUGGCGCCGCUGCCGCCGGUGACACACACCACCUUCUCCAUUUUGCAACUUAAUUCUAACACGAAAACGAUCACUAGAGACUUGAGAAGUCCACUUUGAAAUCAAGAGAAGAAGAAAGAAACAAGUGU
rnacentral:lncRNA from 1 species